rnacentral:tRNA from 1 species
GCGACCGUGGUGCAGUGGUAGCACACCCCGUACAAGCAAGGAGACGAGGGUUCGAUUCCCUACGGGCGCA